rnacentral:rRNA from 1 species
UUUCACGGAGAGUUUGAUCCUGGCUCAGGACGAACGCUGGCGGCGUGCUUAACACAUGCAAGUGGAGCGACGAACCAGGCUUCGGCCUGGGGCAGAGCCGCGAACGGGUGAGUAACACGUGGGU